AACGAACGCUGGCGGCAUGCCUAACACAUGCCAGUCGAACGAGACCUUCGGGUCUAGUGGCGCACGGGUGCGUAACGCGUGGGAACCUGCCUUUAGGUUCGGAAUAACUCAGAGAAAUUUGAGCUAAUACCGGAUGAUGUCUUUGGACCAAAGAUUUAUCGCCUUUAGAUGGGCCCGCGUUGGAUUAGCUAGUUGGUGGGGUAAAGGCCUACCAAGGCGACGAUCCAUAGCUGGUCUGAGAGGAUGAUCAGCCACACUGGGACUGAGACACGGCCCAGACUCCUACGGGAGGCAGCAGUGGGGAAUAUUGGACAAUGGGCGAAAGCCUGAUCCAGCAAUGCCGCGUGAGUGAUGAAGGCCUUAGGGUUGUAAAGCUCUUUUACCCGAGAUGAUAAUGACAGUAUCGGGAGAAUAAGCUCCGGCUAACUCCGUG
rnacentral:rRNA from 1 species